ensembl:lncRNA
CUUCACCACUAUACCACAUCACAGAAUUGCAGGGGUUGGAAGGGACCUCUGUAGAUCACCACUUCCAAGUCCAUAUCCUCAUCCAGUUAACCCCUUAAUUAAAAACAAAGCAGCACUUAGAUCAAAAUUACUUCUAAAGGGUGUGAAUGCCUUGUUUCAGAGCUAACGAGAUCACUUAGGAAUAGUGAGAGAAGUAAAUCUUAACACUCUGUCAGAGCUAUGUCAGAUCAAAUUGUAUGGACAGCAUGUAUAUUUAUGAACACAAUACCUCCAAACAGAGAUUAGAUACCACUACGCAAUGCAAAUGGAUGAAAGAUGAGUAACCGUAUGUCAUGUGAAACUCUUCAAUGAAACUAAAAACAUAAAUACUAAACUUUGCCCAGACAAGCACAUCACUGCUGCAGACAAGUUUUUAUUUCCCCAAAUACCAUUUACUAGAGUUUAACUACAGUAAUCCAAUAUUUGGUUUGAACAUGCAUCUUAAAUGUUGCCUUAGCUCAGCUAUUCCAGUAGCUUUAUUUGGAACAAAACCCAUGUAGCUGGGAAUUUCUAGGGAGGGACUUCAUGUAUUUGCACAAAGUAGUGAGGCUCAUGACCUGAUGAGAACUGCUGGUGGGUGAUGGCAGUUUAAGUGAUCCCUACAGUUCUGCUCAGUUGCACUGCUCUGGUUGCAUUCAAUUUCAAUACUAAGGAUGUGGUAACAACUAAAAACCUUCUACAGCGUGGAUCCAAACCCUUUUGAUACACUUCUCCCUCAAAGUCAGACAUUGGUCCUCUUCACCGCUCUUCAACUCCUCUUGCCCCCAGAAUACACAAAAUCUAACUUGGUUCAGAAAGCAACUACAGCAAGCAUCUAGAGAAAGACCAAGGACAACAUCAGUAACAAAGCUCAUUCCUGGUGGUAUGUGUGCUCAUGAUCCUCAGCUGGUCGUUAGGCAUAUAAGUCUGAAUCAACAAAACAGGCCUGAGCACACUCCAGUUAGUCAGAUUUUCCCCUUGUGGAAGUCUUCUGAAUCCGCAUGGUUCACAAUACCUAAAUGGCUGAGUGGAGAAAGAGCC